rnacentral:rRNA from 1 species
GAGUUUGAUCCUGGCUCAGGACGAACGCUGGCGGCGCGCCUAACACAUGCAAGUCGAACGAGAGAGAGGAAGCUUGCAUCCUCAAUCGAGUGGCGAACGGGUGAGUAACGCGUGAGGAACCUGCCUCAAAGAGGGGGACAACAGUUGGAAACGACUGCUAAUACCGCAUAAGCCCACAGCUCGGCAUCGAGCAGAGGGAAAAGGAGCAAUCCGCUUUGAGAUGGCCUCGCGUCCGAUUAGCUAGUUGGUGAGGUAACGGCCCACCAAGGCAACGAUCGGUAGCCGGACUGAGAGGUUGAACGGCCACGUUGGGACUGAGACACGGCCCAGACUCCUACGGGAGGCAGCAGUGGGGAAUAUUGCACAAUGGGGGAAACCCUGAUGCAGCGACGCCGCGUGGAGGAAGAAGGUCUUCGGAUUGUAAACUCCUGUUGUUGAGGAAGAUAAUGACGGUACUCAACAAGGAAGUGACGGCUAACUACGUGCCAGCAGCCGCGGUAAAACGUAGGUCACAAGCGUUGUCCGGAAUUACUGGGUGUAAAGGGAGCGCAGGCGGGAAGACAAGUUGGAAGUGAAAUCUAUGGGCUCAACCCAUAAACUGCUUUCAAAACUGUUUUUCUUGAGUAGUGCAGAGUAGGCGGAAUUCCCGGUGUAGCGGUGGAAUGCGUAGAUAUCGGGAGGAACACCAGUGGCGAAGGCGGCCUACUGGGCACCAACUGACGCUGAGGCUCGAAAGUGUGGGUAGCANACAGGAUUAGAUACCCUGGUAGUCCACACCGUAAACGAUGAUUACUAGGUGUUGGAGGAUUGACCCCUUCAGUGCCGCAGUUAACACAAUAAGUAAUCCACCUGGGGAGUACAACCGCAAGGUUGAAACUCAAAGGAAUUGACGGGGGCCCGCACAAGCAGUGGAGUAUGUGGUUUAAUUCGACGCAACGCGAAGAACCUUACCAAGUCUUGACAUCCUGCGACGGACAUAGAAAUAUGUCUUUCCUUCGGGACGCAGAGACAGGUGGUGCAUGGUUGUCGUCAGCUCGUGUCGUGAGAUGUUGGGUUAAGUCCCGCAACGAGCGCAACCCUUACUGUCAGUUACUACGCAAGAGGACUCUGGCAGGACUGCCGUUGACAAAACGGAGGAAGGUGGGGAUGACGUCAAAUCAUCAUGCCCUUUAUGACUUGGGCUACACACGUACUACAAUGGCGUUAAACAAAGAGAAGCAAGACCGCGAGGUGGAGCAAAACUCAGAAACAACGUCCCAGUUCGGACUGCAGGCUGCAACUCGCCUGCACGAAGUCGGAAUUGCUAGUAAUCGUGGAUCAGCAUGCCACGGUGAAUACGUUCCCGGGCCUUGUACACACCGCCCGUC